UCCUACGGGAGGCAGCAGUAGGGAAUCUUCCGCAAUGGACGAAAGUCUGACGGAGCAACGCCGCGUGAGUGAUGAAGGCUUUCGGGUCGUAAAACUCUGUUGUUAGGGAAGAACAAGUGCUAGUUGAAUAAGCUGGCACCUUGACGGUACCUAACCAGAAAGCCACGGCUAACUACGUGCCAGCAGCCGCGGUAAUACGUAGGUGGCAAGCGUUAUCCGGAAUUAUUGGGCGUAAAGCGCGCGCAGGUGGUUUCUUAAGUCUGAUGGGAAAGCCCACGGCUCAACCGUGGAGGGUCAUUGGAAACUGGGAGACUUGAGUGCAGAAGAGGAAAGUGGAAUUCCAUGUGUAGCGGUGAAAUGCGUAGAGAUAUGGAGGAACACCAGUGGCGAAGGCGACUUUCUGGUCUGUAACUGACACUGAGGCGCGAAAGCGUGGGGAGCAAACAGGAUUAGAUACCCUGGUAGUCCACGCCGUAAACGAUGAGUGCUAAGUGUUAGAGGGUUUCCGCCCUUUAGUGCUGAAGUUAACGCAUUAAGCACUCCGCCUGGGGAGUACGGCCGCAAGGCUGAAACUCAAAGGAA
rnacentral:rRNA from 1 species